GAGAACAUGAAACAAUGGGUGUUACACUGUAACGAGAAUGAUCAGGGCAAAAUCUUGAGUUAAUCUAAGGAAUCCACACAAGAUGAGAAUGGAGCAGUUCCAGCCAUGUGUCUGGCUUAAGAGCUAUCUCAUAUUUGCAUGACAGGAUAUCUAAGGGCAGGAUAACACAACACACUGCUGGGUACUAGUUAUGCUUCCUCUAAGAAGAAGUACAGUGAAGUAUACCUGGCUAAUGGUGCUGGUGCCUGAAGUUUGUAUAUUAUCCAGCUGGGAUCCUGAACAUGCCUCCCAAAUGACAGACUCCUUCUCCACCCCCUAAAGGAUGUGAUGUAUCUUCUGGCCUAUUGGUUGGUGAACUUCCUAGUUCUCUUUUCACAUGAGAAAGGUAUAUUGUCUGCCUCUCAGGAAGGGGGAAGUGUCUCCCUGUGCCUUUUUUCUCCAUCUGCUUUGCCAGUGAACAUGGGAACAGUUUACACAUACAAAAAAGCCAGAAUUAAUGGGAAACAAACCAAAAGGCUAAGCCAUUAGAAUACUUUAGGUGCACUGGUUCAGGUUAAAGAAAAGACAAUGUAUUCUUGAGGUUAGAGGAAAAGGCUGGAAAUGAAGAGAUAUGAAUCUUUGCCCUUAUGCCAUGCUAAUUGCCAUGAUAUCCAAGUACUUUAUACUUUUUUAAAAACUAAACUCUAUAUAUUUAAGUGAUUUCAUUCCCCCUGCACAGUUUUUUUAUAAGAGGAAAUGUAAGUCAAAUCAAUGGGUUCUGCAUUUUGUUCUGAAGCCAGAGGGACUUUUGGUCAUUCUAAUGUGUGCUAGGAGUGGGUUUCGCAGUCAUGGGUAACUUGUCUCAGCCUUGCAUUUUCCACUAUUCUACUAUGGCUGCUGUGAGCUGUCACUGUUGCACAGAGGGAGCUGAUUCCUCAAUUAUUUGGGUAAAUAAAUAAAUAAAAACUUUUAGGGACCAACUCACAUGUCCACUAUAUCAUCUUUGAACCACACCAGCAGUGCUAAUGAGCCAUAACUGUCUGGAUAAAGUCCCCAGAGGAAUACACCUAUCUCAAGAGAGUUCAAAUAGAAUAAAGCUCUCACCUUUUCAUCCCAUACUACAGAGUGCCACAAUGCUCUGGAUAUUCUUGGCUGUGGAAUGGCCUCCUUGAGGAGCCAUUCUUGCUGAGUAUUGUUCUAAAUUGGUCCCUGAGACUGCUCUAAAUUAAUCCAGGGCCAAACUGGGCCCCAUUUGGCUCAAAAAUCCAAGAAGAAUGAAGGAGGCUUUAAGCCACAUUUUCCUAUGACAGCUUCUGUACCAAAUGGAAAUGAGGCAAUUUUUUCCUCUCAUUCACACCAGUAAAUCCACAGUAACUCCACUGAUGUCAAUGGAGUUACAACAGAUUCACCACAUUUGUCAAGAAUAAUAUUGUUGAAUAACCUGAAAUGCCAGAGUGUGAUGUUUUUUGGUGAGUAAAUACAUUGCUAUCCAUAUAAUAGUUUAUAGUAUAGAUGUUUUUUUGGUGAGUAAAUGCAUUGCUAUCCAUAUAGUAAUACAUUGCUAUUCAUAUAGUAGCAUGCUAUAUUAAUGUAUCAAUGGAAAACUUUAUUUAAAGUUUUUUAGUGAAAGCAUUUCAGAGUUCUUUGCCAUAAAAGUAGAUCAAAGAACAUGAAGGCACAAUCAUUAAAUCCUUGAAAAGCUAAAUUAAAUAGAUAUUUUACAUGAGUUUUAAAUACACUAAGAGAUUCUCAAGGCUAAACAAGAUAGAACUUCAAUCAUAACUUUGGUGCUUUACACGGCAGCUCUCCAAUCAGUAAUAGCAAGUCAAGAUAUAGGGGACAGCAAGUUAUGAUAAUAUUCCUUCAAGACAAGGAGUCUCAAAUUCUGCUUUACUU